rnacentral:rRNA from 1 species
GGUAUUAGGUCGUUGGUGAGGUAACGGCUCACCAAGCCUACGAUGCCUACCGGGUGUGAGAGCAUGACCCGGCGACACUGGAACUGAGACACUGUCCAGACACCUACGGGUGGCUGCAGUCGAGAAUCUUCGGCAAUGGGCGAAAGCCUGACCGAGCGACGCCGCGUGAGGGAAGAAGGCCUUCGGGUUGUAAACCUCUUUCGUAGAGGAGGAAGGGGCCGUGCAGAGCGGUCUUUGACCUAUUCUAGGAAGAAGCUUGGGCUAAGUUCGUGCCAGCAGCCGCGGUAAGACGAACCAAGCGAACGUUAUUCGGAAUUACUGGGCUUAAAGCGCGUGUAGGCGGAUGACCACGUCAGUCGUUGAAAUCCCCCGGCUCAACCGGGGAACAGGCGCUGAUACGAGUUGUCUGGAGGUGGGUAGGGGAGACUGGAACUUCCGGUGGA